UACGUAGGGGGGCUAGCGUUGUCCGGAUUUAUUGGGCGUAAAGAGCGUGUAGGCGGCCAAGCAGGUCCGUUGUGAAAACUGGAGGCUUAACCUCCAGACAUCGACGGAAACCGCGCGGCUAGAGUCCGGAAGAGGAGAGUGGAAUUCCUGGUGUAGCGGUGAAAUGCGCAGAUAUCAGGAAGAACACCAAUGGCGAAGGCAGCUCGCUGGGACGUUACUGACGCUGAGACGCGAAAGCGUGGGGAGCAAACAGG
rnacentral:rRNA from 1 species